AUUGAACGCUGGCGGCAGGCCUAACACAUGCAAGUCGAGCGGCAGCGGAAAGUAGCUUGCUACUUUGCCGGCGAGCGGCGGACGGGUGAGUAAUGUCUGGGAAACUGCCUGAUGGAGGGGGAUAACUACUGGAAACGGUAGCUAAUACCGCAUAACGUCGCAAGACCAAAGAGGGGGACCUUCGGGCCUCUUGCCAUCAGAUGUGCCCAGAUGGGAUUAGCUAGUAGGUGGGGUAACGGCUCACCUAGGCGACGAUCCCCAGCUGGUCUGAGAGGAUGACCAGCCACACUGGAACUGAGACACGGUCCAGACUCCUACGGGAGGCAGCAGUGGGGAAUAUUGCACAAUGGGCGCAAGCCUGAUGCAGCCAUGCCGCGUGUAUGUAGAAGGCCUUCGGGUUGUAAAGUACUUUCAGCGGGGAGGAAGGCGCUGAGGUUAAUAACCUCAGCGAUUGACGUUACCCGCAGAAGAAGCACCGGCUAACUCCGUGCCAGCAGCCGCGGUAA
rnacentral:rRNA from 1 species